GGGCCUAUAGCUCAAUUGGUCAGAGCCACCGGCUCAUAACCGGAAGGUUCCAGGUUCGAUUCCUGGUAGGCCCACCA
rnacentral:tRNA from 1 species